rnacentral:snoRNA from 1 species
CACUUCCAGAUUCCUUACCCUUCAGACCUAAAUAUUGGCUGAGAGGCUAAAAAGGAGGAAAAGUAAAAUUGAAGUGGACUUGAGGUCUUAAGUGAAAUACAAGUUCAUUUCAAACUUAC